UCGGUGAAAGUCUGUUUUGCGUGGGUGUGCAGGCCGAAACCCACUGUGUGCAUCUACUGCCAUCUUCUGCAUUGUUUUGGUGUGCCCUUUUCAUGGUUUCGCCUGCUUUGCCGAUUCUUCUCAUUUCGCCACCACAGACAUCAAGGGGCACAAGCAAGCACGCAGCAAUAGGGACUCCAACCUCGUGAAAGUACGCCCUCCCUGCCCCAGUCCACGCGGAAUCAAGCAUGGCGGACAUCUUGAAGUCGGUGAAGCGCAUCGUGGUAAAGGUGGGCUCCUCGAUCCUUGUGGACAAUCAGGAGAUCGCCGCGCACCGGAUCGAGGCGCUAUGCCAGUUUAUCGCCGACCUUCAGACCAAGUACGAAGUGAUCCUUGUCACAUCCGGUGCAGUCGCCGCGGGGUACACGAAAAAAGAGAUGGAUAAGUCAUAUGUGCCGAAUAAGCAGGCACUCGCGUCGAUGGGGCAGCCACUGCUCAUGCACAUGUACUACACCGAGCUGCAAAAGCACGGCAUCCUGUGCGCUCAGAUGCUGCUUGCUGCCUAUGAUCUCGACUCGCGGAAGCGUACUAUCAACGCCCAUAAUACCAUUGAGGUGCUCAUCAGCCACAAGGUGAUCCCGAUCAUCAACGAAAACGAUGCGACGGCGCUUGAGGAGCUGGUCUUUGGCGACAAUGACCGUCUGUCCGCGCUAGUUGCGCACCACUUCAAGGCCAACCUACUUGUCAUUCUCAGCGACAUCGACGGCUACUACACCGAAAAUCCACGCACUUCCACGAAUGCCACGAUACGCUCUGUCGUCCACGAACUUAGCCCUGACGAUCUUGUGGCAGAGGCCACCCCGAACAAUCGGUUCGCGACGGGUGGGAUUGUGACGAAGCUGCAGGCUGCUCAAUUCCUCCUGGAAAGGGGAGGAAAAAUGUACCUCUCGAGCGGAUUCCACCUAGAGAAGGCACGCCAGUUCCUUCUCGGCGGCUCGCACGAGAUCGGCACACUGUUUUAUUCGAGAGUUUCAUCUUGAAGCGCUUAGGGAUCUCACACAAGCACAGUGGAAGAGAGACCACAACACAGAAGACGCGCCCUAUCUCACCGCAUUGGCGUGCCCCAGAUUGGACCCCUCAUCACGGUCGUCUACAGGCUCCCUUUCUGUUGUGUGCGGUUGCGCCCAGGUCUUUAUCCGUGGCUUCAUAUUUCACUUUGUGUCUGUUUUUCUGUCGUUCAUGCGAGUCCUCAUUUUUGUCGACCACAUUGAACUUACCUCACGAAUUGGGCAGGACAAAACCGAAGGUGGUGCGUGUUCUUUUCUUCGCUACCCGAUAUCGAAACAGGUACCCACGGUUGUAGGCAAAUACGCAUGGAGGCAAAGACACGCCCCUACGCACCCUUUUACUUUGUUGUAGUCGUUCUUUCUUUGUGCUUCCGUACUCCUCUCAAAACGGUAUCGAACUCAUCUACGCGUGCACACUCUACUUGCACCGCAGAGAGUUUUCUGAGGUGAACCGCAAACGUGAAACUAAGAGUGCUGCACCCUCUUGCAGCCCGCGAGGCAAGGGGCCGUGCUUCAGCAAUGGCCUUCCGCUAUCAACCUCGAGAUGAGGCCAUGUUGGCACGGCGGUGUCUACUCAUGUGUGUGUGCCCGCCACUGCAGCAACAGUGAGCAGAGACUCCAUCGGAGGACAGCAACCGGCUGUGGGUAUACGCUUGCUAGUAUGUGGCCCCUCCCCACACUCCUUCACGUUGUGCGCACUUGUGCCAUGUUUCCUGCUUCGGAGGCUGGCGAGUAACAAAGGCCGUGCCCAUGCUUGGAUACUGGUGAGAAUGCCUCCCCCUGCGGUUGACAUCUGUGUGCUUUGCUGUUUAUAUUCACUAUGAGAUGCCGCACAAACAGUAGUGAGCAGAUGCCGUCCUGGAACCACUAGCUGCAACAGGUCUCAUUCCCUUUCUCUGGGGCGGGCUCCGCUUGGGUGAAGGACCAGACACCGGACCGUCUUGAAUGCGAUCUCCCUACCAUACAGAUAAUGACUGACGCAAUGCGGAGCACCCGGCAGCGCACGCGCAUCGCACGACACCCUUUCCACAUACUCUCUCGUGGCCGUCUGCCGUGCCGCUUUCGGCAUCCUUCUCUACAGGCUUCUCCGCGGCCCCCGUGGUGUUCCGUCAGGCAGCGCAGCCAUUUACGCCGCCGCUCAUCACACGUGCGAUGCGCAACGCAGUUUUCUCUACAACACGACACAGGCAGCGGAGGAGCACGCUAGAUGUGCAUGUGAAAGGUCUGUACACCUCCUGCGUCGAUGAUGUCUCACUGCACUGCUUAUCGCACCACACCACUCCGUGCGGCAUGUGGACUGAAGUUACAUCAGCAUUCCCGCUCCUCCACGGCCUGUAUGGCGCUUUGAUGAUGACAAUGAUAGGAUGUGGCCGUGCGCCGUCUUUUGUAAUGCUGCGUAUAUGAAACGACACCUCUCGUGCUGCAUCGAGUGAGCGGGCGCCACCUGUACAGAGUGCUGCACGUGCAUCGCCCUGUGCAAGUCGACGGCCAUGGGAACGUACACGUGCGUUGUCGUGGCGCGAUACGGCUCCACGCACUCUCUGCUAUCGACUCUCCAAGAUGGCACAGAGAAGGAAACCCAGUAAGAUACUGACCUAUAGUGUCUUUAAGUCGUGUGUGUGUCUGCG
rnacentral:misc_RNA from 1 species